GGCUUAGAAGCAGCCAUCCUUGAAAGAGUGCGUAAUAGCUCACUGGUCAAGUGAUUCUGCGCCGAUAAUGUAGCGGGGCUCAAGUACACCGCCGAAGUUAUGGCAAUCAGUCCUUGUGGCUGGUUGGGUAGGGGAGCGUCCUGCAUGAGGUGAAGCUGCCACGGGAGUGUGUGGUGGAUUGUGUGGGAGUGAGAAUGCAGGCAUGAGUAGCGAAUCACGGGUGAGAAACCCGUGCGCCGGAUGAUCAAGGGUUCCAGGGUCAAGUUAAUCUGCCCUGGGUUAGUCGGGGCCUAAGGCGAGGCCGACAGGCGUAGUCGAUGGAUAACGGGUUGAUAUUCCCGUACCAGUGAAGGACCGUCCAUACUGAUAUUGUGAUGCUAACCAUGCCGAACACAGUGUGCUGCUCUUUUGGGUGGUGUGUUGUGGGGUGUGUGGGACCCAGGCUUUGGAGGUAAGCGUGUUAACAGGUGUGACGCAGGAAGGUAGCCAAGCCACGCGGUGGUUGUCGUGGUCUAAGCGUGUAGGAUGGUUGGUUGUUAAAUGCGCCAGCUGUGUGUCUGAGACGUGAUGGGACCCCGUUGUUGGGGGAUUUGGUGAUCCUAUGCUGUCGAGAAAAGCAUCGGCGUGAGGUUUGAGCUGCCCGUACCCGAAACCGACACAGGUGAUCAGGUAGAGAAUACUAAGGCGAUCGAGAGAAUCAUGGUUAAGGAACUCGGCAAAAUGCCCCCGUAACUUCGGGAGAAGGGGGGCCCUGAGCGUGAUCUGCCCGUGCGGUGGGGAGCGUGUAGGGGUCGCAGAGACCAGGGGGAAGCGACUGUUUAUCAAAAACACAGGUCCGUGCGAAGUCGUAAGACGAGGUAUACGGACUGACUCCUGCCCGGUGCUGGAAGGUUAAGAGGAGUGGUUAGCCCUUUUGGGGGCGAAGCUGCGAAUUUAAGCCCCAGUAAACGGCGGUGGUAACUAUAACCAUCCUAAGGUAGCGAAAUUCCUUGUCGGGUAAGUUCCGACCUGCACGAAUGGAGUAACGACUUCCCUACUGUCUCAACCAUGAACUCGGUGAAAUUGCAGUACGAGUAAAGAUGCUCGUUUCGCGCAGCAGGACGGAAAGACCCCGUGACCUUUACUAUAGUUUGGUAUUGGUGUUUGGGUUGGCUUGUGUAGGAUAGGUGGGAGACUGUGAAGCUGUCACGCUAGUGGUGGUGGAGUCGUUGUUGAAAUACCACUCUGGUCAAUCUGAGCGUCUAACUUCGGGCCAUGAUCUGGUUCAGGGACAGUGCCUGAUGGGUAGUUUAACUGGGGCGGUUGCCUCCUAAAGUGUAACGGAGGCGCCCAAAGGUUCCCUCAGCCUGGUUGGCAAUCAGGUGUUGAGUGUAAGUGCACAAGGGAGCUUGACUGUGAGAGUGGCGGCUCGAGCAGGUGCGAAAGCAGGGACUAGUGAUCCGGCAGUGGCGUGUGGAAGCGCUGUCGCUCAACGGAUAAAAGGUACCUCGGGGAUAACAGGCUGAUCUUGCCCAAGAGUCCAUAUCGACGGCAUGGUUUGGCACCUCGAUGUCGGCUCGUCGCAUCCUGGGGCUGGAGUC
rnacentral:rRNA from 1 species